rnacentral:rRNA from 1 species
GAUGAACGCUGGCGGUAUGCUUAACACAUGCAAGUCGAACGGUCUCUUCGGAGAUAGUGGCGGACGGGUGAGUAACGCGUGAGAAUCUGGCUCUAGGUCUGGGACAACCACUGGAAACGGUGGCUAAUACCGGGUGUGCCGAAAGGUGAAAGGUUAACUGCCUGGAAAUGAGCUCGCGUCUGAUUAGCUAGUUGGUAAGGUAAAAGCUUACCAAGGCGACGAUCAGUAGCUGGUCUGAGAGGACGAUCAGCCACACUGGGACUGAGACAC